ACUUUGGUGUUGGUCGUAUGCUUGAUUUACUAAUUUUGAUUGAAGCCAGUAUUUUUGAAAGAUUGUUAAAGAAUUAUUAUUUUUCCACUUGGGCGAUGAGUUGAUGUUAUUACUUUGGAUGACGUCAAGCUACCUAUGUUGAAAAUAUUGAGAUUUAUUUUCAAAAGGGGUUUCUUUACGGAUUUGAAAAUAUGUUGCAUACAUUUUAUAAAUGGAUAUUAUGGGUUUGACUUGAGUCACCCAAAUUUGUAGUAGAGUUUGGAAGUGGUAAUCACUCGGCUAACUCGAUGAUUUUAAAUUGAGGCGUUUGGGAAUAAUUGUCUCUAUUGUUUUAUAAAAGAGGUUUCCGAAAAAUGAUUUUCAAAACUGUGGGGCUCGACACGAACUUGAAAUCUAUUUUGUAAAUUUUAUUUUUCGAAGUGGAUUUUGAUAGGUACUUUUGACCAGUAUCUUUAUUAUUUUAAUUUGAGUUGGUGUGUUGAAAAUAUUAUUGUGUAAGUAAAAUUUUCCUUAGUUACGGGUAGGAACUCAUUGGCCAUAUAAGAUGUUGCAUGCUUAAUUAUUUUUGGAAUUACAUUGGUUAGCUAUCUAAAUGAGUAAUUGGUUUACUAUAAGAUGCUUAAGUGUUUUUCGGAUGUGUGAUCAAUUUUUAACCUAUAUUAUUUAUUCUGGUCUAUAGUAUUUGAUUAAGUUAUGCCGUAUCAGUUCCGUCCUCGUUGGCCUCACUGUGUGGAGUAUCACGUGAUAGUAUUUCUCGCUAGUCUUUCUUUGGCCUAACCUUGACAUUGAUAUCGAUGUGAGUUUCGAACCUUUGUUUUGACCUUGUGAUUAUUUAGGUGUUCUAAUUGGUUAGUUGGAUCGAACGUUGGACUCUGGAAAUCGAAGUUAUUAAUUUUGUCAUCAAGAAAUUUGAGGAGCGAUCCUCAAGAGCUGUUUGCAUAUUCGAAUUCCGAAUCUGUCAUGGCCAGAGGAAGGCGAUUUGAGUUACUCAGCACCGGUGGAAUAAUUCUACUCGUGAGUGCUUACCUCGCGCGUGGAAUUUGGAGCGUUAUGCAUUUCUAGAUCGUGUUCGUUGUGAUAAAUUAUAGUAUCAAAAUCUUUCGGCUUUUGGUAUUCUGGAAAAGGAUGUGGAAAUUGUGUUCGAGGUAGAUCAGUGUAGUAAUACAUUGGUGUUUUCAUUGGGUAGAUCGGUGAAACACCAAAACUGAUAGUGGAGCUGUGAAGGCGUUCGUAUUGUUUGAUGUCUUUGGAAAAUUUUCAAUUUGAUUUGAGGGAGAAUUCAUUAUUAGGUAAAUUUUAGUUUCCUUGUUGAUGUUGGGUUAUUUCGUUAAUGACGAUGCAAAUUGGUGAACUAGGAUAAUGGAGAUGGGCAAAUAUGUCAAAAUGGGCGAGUGCACGUCUUACAGAGUGUGAGGUCUAGAAAAUAUUUCGAGGGAAAAUUGAUUUCAAAUGUUAAAUGGUUAAAGAGAAUUGAAAUGUUUUUAUCACAUAAUUGUGCCCAGACAUGUCAUGAACAUGCAUUUUGGAAUGCCACGAAUAGAAAACUGCAUUGAGCAUUGAGCAUGAUCACUAAUUAAAAGAGAAAUAAAUAAUUGAUACAUGCAUUUAGAACAUUCAUCACGACAUUAAAUUAUUAGGGUCGAAUGCAACUCUUUGGGGAUGAGAGCUGUCAUCACCCUGGCGCACAAUUAUGUAAAAUAAAUUUUAUCAGUGAGAUUUUUCAAAUGUUUUGUUUAAAACUCGCGAGUUAUAUUGUGAAAAUAGUGUUUAAAAGGUUAUUAAAUUUCAAACGGUUUUGAAAUUUUUAUUUGGUAGGAAACUAGACAAAUACUCUGUGACGACGGUAGUGAUUUAAGAAAAAUGGCAUUGUAAGGAUUUAUUCUAUAUUGAUUGGAGUAUCAGCGUUUGGUAAAUAGGAGCUAUGGUUAUAAGUUGCACUCAAGGUUUAGUUGUGGUAGGUGCGGAAAAAUAUUGAGUUCGGAUUAAAGAGUUGUGUCAGCUUAGAGUAUAUGGUUUGAGGAGUUUUGUUUUGAAGAACAUUGGUUAUGCUCUGUGUGUGUUUUUUUUUAAAGAACUAAAAGCAAUUUUGUUUUUACAGAUUUAAUAUCUGUUUAAAAAGUUUUGAUACCGAAAUGAAAAUUUAUUGUGAAUAAAGGAACUCUUAUUUGUAAAAUUUUAACUUUUGAGAAGCGAUGCAACUUUGCCAGUUUAGAUUUAAAAGCGGAUUUCAAAUUGUUUUAAAUGGAUUUUAUAAAAUCAUAAAAAUUAUUGUGAAAGUAAGGUUCAGUUAUGAUUUCAAAUUGAGAGUAUUUUAUCAUGUUGAUGCGUUUACAAACAAAAUAAUUUUUCAACGGGUUAAUUAUUUAGAUAAAAGUGAAAAUUUAAUUUGAGGUGCUAGUGAUUUCAAAUUAAAGGUGGAUAGCGCUAGUAUAUAUUUGUGUUUACGUAAAAUAUUUUUCUGGAGAAGUUUUGUUUUAAGCAUAACCAAUAAUCAAAUUGAGUGCGAUUAGAUCUUAAUGAUCUUCAGUAGGAUUCGAGGUUUUGGUGAUAUAGAAAUAAAUGUCAAGGAUGAAUAAUAUUGUUUUCAGAAGUAUAAGUUAUGUAUUCCUUAAAAAAUUGGUGUGUUUUCUUACGUCUUAGUUCUUGAAGUUGAUAGUAUUGUCGAGGAGAUCUUAGUUGGUUGAACCGAGACGAUACUAAUGGCGUUAGUUUUCAUCCAUUAUUUUGUGACGGCACAUUUGAUCUGAACGAUAUUUUGAAUUGUUGUUAAGCUUUCUCAUUUGAAGUAAUUGAUACUAUGACCAUUAUAAGUUCAUAGUGCGUAGACGCUAAGUGAUGUAAGAUUAUUUUCCGUAGAGAGUGCUUGUAGGUUUUCGGUUUGUAGUAUUGGGGUUUGGCUUAAUAAGUUUUUGAUUCGAAUUUUAGGUUUGAGAAAUCAAUGUUUAAUUCGUUCACACGUGGUGUUUGAGGAGCCGUUUGAAGUACCAAAUUGUUGAUCUUAGAGUUUUCCGCGUUUGCGUAUGGUGGUCUUUCGGGUUUUCAGAUCAGUUGUAAAUUCGAAGUCGUAAAAUUUUCAGCGUGUUUCGGUUAGAUGAUGUGUCGUUUUUCUUAGCUAUCCUCAGUUGAAAUUAUGGUAAGAUUACCCUUGGGUAGGAGUUUGCUUAAACUUUUGAGAUUGCGGUGAUGUUUUGCUUAGACUGAAUUAAACAAUUUUUAUUUUGUUAUCCGUAGAGUUGUCCCUCGGUCGUGAGUAAUCUUAGAUAUCACAAAUUGUGGUACGUAUAUCUCUUUCGUUCCGUCGAGGAUACGUUCUUCGUAUUUUGAGUUAUGUGUGAGUUUUACGUAUUGGUAAUUGAGUUUUUAUUACUGGGCUUUUUGAUAAAUUCGAGGACGAAUUUUUAAUAAGUUGGGGAUAAUGUAAAACCCCAUAAAAUUUUAAAAUUUAUUUUUGCGAGUUUCAGUAAUAUUUUGAGUCAUUUACGUAUUUGAAAUUCGUUGGGUGGUUCGAUUUGUGGCUUGGUUCGUGGCUCGGUUCGGUCUUUGGUUCUCUAGGUUUGUGGUACAUGCGGAAAAUCUCAGGUCUCAAUCGAGACCUGAAAUUUUCACGUAAAGUCUCGUUCGAGACCUUCAGUCUCGAACGAGACUUCUUCAAUUUGUUGUUGGUCUCGUUCGAGACCAGCAUUUUGGUUCACAGGGGUCCAUUUUUUCCUUCGUUUUAUAACCUAACUAACUCCUAUAAAUCCGUAACUUUUCAAUCCUAAUCUAUUCACCACACGGCACACUAAACCCUAGCUGCCAAUUCUUGCUGAUCCUUUGAGGAAUCGCUGCCCUUAUUUUCCUCCCAAAGUUUCCAAAAUUUUUGCAAAUUCAGUUCCGCUUCGUCGCUGAGAAAGUAGACUCAUUCCUCUACAACUUUGCCUUUCGAAUUUUGUCAAACGCCGUUUGGAGAUCGAAAUCCGUUCCGUUCAUUCCCCGUGAUAGUAGGCUCGCUCCUCUACGAUUCUACACUUUUCUUUUGUCAAACGGUACGUAAACGCACCCGUAUCAAUCGCCGUCGUUUCAUCGUUUUGCGGUAGCUUAAGUUUCUACUUGCUCUGUUUAUUGUCAUAGGCUAAGUGUUGAUUCCUGGGUGUGAUUCUUAUUACGUUAGGCUAUUAUCUUACGUCCGAAUCAAGUCGUUUCAUCUCUGAAAUUCUUCAAAACUUCAUUGAUUCUCAGAGACCCGUCGACUGCUCGUGCUUCGGAGUCUACGCAGGGUUAACUGUUUGCCAAGAUCACGUGGAUAAGCAAGCAGUUUAUUAUUUUGAGCGAGUCUGCAGAUCUCCGAAUCUUUAUUCCUCGGAGGUUUAUUUUCUUUUUAAUAAAUUGUCAAACUACUUUUAUUCUUAGACCGCAGUAGUAAAUUAGAAGUCUAUAUUAUUCUAGUCUGUUUGUCGGAUUUGUCUGACUGGCUUUCUUUUAUGCUUUGGCAUUAAUAUUGUUUAACUCUGGUUAUAUUUAUUUAAUGGAAGUACUUAUAUUUAAACUGUUA